UGCAGUCGACGCUUCUUACCUCCCGAGUGCUUGCACUCAAUUGGAAAGAGGAGUGGCGGACGGGUGAGUAACACGUGGGUAACCUACCCAUCAGAGGGGGAUAACACUUGGAAACAGGUGCUAAUACCGCAUAACAGUUUAUGCCGCAUGGCAUAAGAGUGAAAGGCGCUUUCGGGUGUCGCUGAUGGAUGGACCCGCGGUGCAUUAGCUAGUUGGUGAGGUAACGGCUCACCAAGGCCACGAUGCAUAGCCGACCUGAGAGGGUGAUCGGCCACACUGGGACUGAGACACGGCCCAGACUCCUACGGGAGGCAGCAGUAGGGAAUCUUCGGCAAUGGACGAAAGUCUGACCGAGCAACGCCGCGUGAGUGAAGAAGGUUUUCGGAUCGUAAAACUCUGUUGUUAGAGAAGAACAAGGACGUUAGUAACUGAACGUCCCCUGACGGUAUCUAACCAGAAAGCCACGGCCAACUACGUGCCAGCAGCCGCGGUAAUACGUAGGUGGCAAGCGUUGUCCGGAUUUAUUGGGCGUAAAGCGAGCGCAGGCGGUUUCUUAAGUCUGAUGUGAAAGCCCCCGGCUCAACCGGGGAGGGUCAUUGGAAACUGGGAGACUUGAGUGCAGAAGAGGAGAGUGGAAUUCCAUGUGUAGCGGUGAAAUGCGUAGAUAUAUGGAGGAACACCAGUGGCGAAGGCGGCUCUCUGGUCUGUAACUGACGCUGAGGCUCGAAAGCGUGGGGAGCAACAGGAUUAGA
rnacentral:rRNA from 1 species